UACGUAGGGUGCGAGCGUUUGUCCGGAAUUAUUGGGCGUAAAGAGCUCGUAGGCGGCUUGUCGCGUCGGAUGUGAAAGCCCGGGGCUUAACUCCGGGUCUGCAUUCGAUACGGGCAGGCUAGAGUUCGGUAGGGGAGAUCGGAAUUCCUGGUGUAGCGGUGAAAUGCGCAGAUAUCAGGAGGAACACCGGUGGCGAAGGCGGGUCUCUGGGCCGUAACUGACGCUGAGGAGCGAAAGCAUGGGGAGCGAACAGG
rnacentral:rRNA from 1 species